CAAGGAUUCCCCUAGUAACGGCGAGUGAAGCGGGAAGAGCACAAAUUUUAAAUCUACCUGGUUUUYCAGGUCGAGUUGUAAUUUGAAGAAACGUUUUUUACGUUCCGGGUUGGAUUAAAUCCUUUGGGAUAAGGUAUCAUGGAGGGUGAGAAUCCCGUGUAUACCAACCACUGGAAUGUUAUUAAUACGAUUUCUAAGAGUCGAGUUGUUUGGGAAUGCAGCUCUAAAUGGGUGGUAAAUUUCACCUAAUGCUAAAUAUAAGCGAGAGACCGAUAGUGAACAAGUACCGUGAGGGAAAGAUGAAAAGAACUUUGAAAAGAGAGUUAAAUAGUACGUGAAAUUGUUGAAAGGGAAACGGUUGAAGUCAGUCAUGCCGGCGGGAAUCAACUUAGGGGAAACUCUAGGUGCACUUCUUCGCUUGGCAGGUUAGCGUCGAUUUUGGAUGUCAUAAAAUGACUGGGGGAAGGUAGCUCCUUCGGGAGUGUUAAGCCCUUGGUAGAUGUGAUGUUCGGGAUCGAGGAUUGCAACGGAUACCCUUUGGGCUAGCCACCUGGUCUCUAAUACGAAGUUGGGUUAUGGAUAGCAUGCUAAUCAUGAUCUGAUUUUCGGUUAAAAGAUUAGAGUGAGUGUAAAUUCGUUAAGGACGCUGACG
rnacentral:rRNA from 1 species